CUCAUUAAUAUCUCAGAUGACGCGUAAGCCCCUUCACAGUACUUUUUUCGAGUUAUUAACGCUAAAACUUUGCCGACUUUUAUUUCGUUUUUGGGGCAGCUCCUUUAUGUUUAGGAAUAAUUUUCAUUACUGAUUAAUUAAUCAAUUUUAAUUAUGCAAAGUGAAUAUUGUCAUAUUCUUACUUCGUCAAUUAGGGAAAAGUUAAUAAAAUUCGAAUAGUUAAAUUUGUACAAAGAUAACCUCCGAAUGGAGAUAUAAUCAUAGGAAAACAAAGAAAUUUUUUACUUUUCCGGAAUAUAUCCGAAAUCCAGCUGUGAGUUUAUUUAUGGUCUCAUGUUACAACUAUUAUCAGCAUAAUCGAAUGAAUUUCAGACAAAGGUGAUCCUAAUAAACCGGAAUUAUUACUGAAUGGAAAAAAUAGCAUGAUGAACUUUAAAAUGACUUGGGCGUUGCCUGAAAUGUAAAUUCACAAAUUGAUUGUUGAAGCGGGAAACUGAAUUCUGUAUAUAAGUCAGGGAAUCUCUGUUCAGAAGCAUCAUUUGAUACAAAGAGAUCAAAUACAAUCCACAAGCAAAAUGUUCGCUAAAAUCAUCCUCCUUGCCUUCGCUCUCUUCGCAGUAGCAUUCGCUGCCCCAGAACCAAGGCCCCAAUUUAUUGUUCCAGCCGCCACCGGUUACAGCGCAUACUCAGCACCAUUGGCCUACUCUCCUUAUUCUGCUUUGCCUUACUCAGCUUACUCUGGUGUCUACCCAAGCGUUUAUGGAGCUGUUCAACCUGGUGCUGUGAUUGUUUGAAUGUCUAAUUGAAUUGUUACGGAUAAGACUUGAGUUUCAAAAAAUUAUGUUUCCUUCUAUGUAAAUUUCCUUUUUGCGGAAUAAAUUCAUAAACAAA